AUACAGAGGGUGCGAGCGUUAAGCGGAAUUACUGGGCGUAAAGCGCGCGUAGGCGGCUUGGUCAGUCGGAUGUGAAAGCCCCGGGCUCAACCUGGGAAUGGCAUUCGAUACUGCCAGGCUAGAGUAUGGGAGAGGGAAGUGGAAUUUCCGGUGUAGCGGUGAAAUGCGUAGAUAUCGGAAAGAACACCAGUGGCGAAGGCGACUUCCUGGCCCAAUACUGACGCUGAGGUGCGAAAGCGUGGGGAGCGAACAGGAUUAGAAACCCUAGUAGUCC
rnacentral:rRNA from 1 species